GAUGAACGCUGGCGGCGUGCCUAAUACAUGCAAGUCGAGCGAACAGACGAGGAGCUUGCUCCUCUGAUGUUAGCGGCGGACGGGUGAGUAACACGUGGAUAACCUACCUAUAAGACUGGGAUAACUUCGGAAAACCGGAGCUAAUACCGGAUAAUAUAUUGAACCGCAUGGUUCAAUAGUGAAAGACGGUUUUGCUGUCACUUAUAGAUGGAUCCGCGCCGCAUUAGCUAGUUGGUAAGGUAACGGCUUACCAAGGCAACGAUGCGUAGCCGACCUGAGAGGGUGAUCGGCCACACUGGAACUGAGACACGGUCCAGACUCCUACGGGAGGCAGCAGUAGGGAAUCUUCCGCAAUGGGCGAAAGCCUGACGGAGCAACGCCGCGUGAGUGAUGAAGGUCUUCGGAUCGUAAAACUCUGUUAUUAGGGAAGAACAAAUGUGUAAGUAACUAUGCACGUCUUGACGGUACCUAAUCAGAAAGCCACGGCUAACUACGUG
rnacentral:rRNA from 1 species